rnacentral:sRNA from 1 species
AUAUGUGAAGCAGAACAAAAGCA